GCGAUUCUUCUGCGGCCGCCACGAGGGGGCACCCGUGCCUGCGGAGAGACCGAGAGGGAUGAGGCAAGAGACUCCAAAGAGCCCGAGACAGGCUCGCAGAGCCGAGAUGAUAAAGAGACAAAAAAAUUGACCACAGAGAGGGUGUUGCAGAGCGGAACCGACAAAGAACGGAUCGGAAUCCAAGCCAGAGUUCAGAGCUCAGGAGGUUGACCGCUACCCCACUCUGUCUCCCCGAUGGGAGGCUCAGAAACAGAAAAGCUUUAGAAGGUUCUGUGAGCAGCCCCUUAGAGCCGGCUCCAUCCCUGCCGGGCCCUGCUCUGCACUUACUAUUUCACCAAGGGGACCACCUCCUGUUCCAGGAACGUUUCCUCAAAGGCCAGGCCAGCAUGCUCCUCCCCCAAAGAGGCUUAAUCUACGUCGGCCCUGCCUCUCCCGAGAGGCCUUCUAGCCACGCGGACGACCACCACGACUCAACACCUCUGGCUCUGGGUUACCCUCUUCAGCAGGGACCCCCCACCCCCCAUCACAAGCCCCGCCCAUCCACUCUGGCAAUAACUCCGGUCUGGCCCCAGCCCCGCCCCCGACCUGACCCGGGGCUUUAGGCUCCUCCCAUUCCCCCCUCCCUUUCUCCCGGGGGCCCCGCCUCCAGCCUACCCCUGGUCUCUCCAGCCCCACAGAUCCCGGCCCCCUUAGCCCCCGGCCCCAAGCCCCGCC